rnacentral:rRNA from 1 species
GACGAAAGCUGGCGGCGUGCUUAACACAUGCAAGUCGAACGAGUGGCGAACGGGUGAGUAACACGUGGGUGACCUGCCCUGCACUUCGGGGUAAGCCUGGGAAACUGGGUCUAAUACCGGAUAGUGUGGGAUGGGCCCGCGGCCUAUCAGCUUGUUGGGGGGGUAAUUGAUACCAAGGGGCGACGGGUAGCAGGCCUGCGAGGAUGAUCAGCAAUACUGGGACUGAGACACGGCCCAGACUCCUACGGGAGGCAGCAGUGGGGAAUAUUGCACAAUGGGCGCAAGCAUGAUGCAGCCAUGCCGCGUGUAUGAAUAAGGCCUUAGGGUUGUAAAGUACUUUCAGCGGGGAGGCGUUACCCGCAGAAGAAGCACCGGCUAACUCCGUGCCAGCAGCCGCGGUAAUUC